GCUUUUUUAGUAUAUUUAGUAUGGGUUCUUUCCGAGUAUCAGGUUUAUAAGAGUAAAAAAAGUA
rnacentral:tRNA from 1 species